rnacentral:lncRNA from 1 species
ACAAAAUAAACCGAAAGUGACGCAAUGGUUUAUGAUGGUAUCCACGGUGUAAUGUUUUUUACACUUUCUCCAGCUCAUAAUGUGCCCACUCCAGCGCACAUUAGCUCAUGCCGCGCACUCAAACGAACCCGCCAAUUUCACCCUCCGGUUCCGGUGCAACAGACUUAAUAUUAACAGCGGCGUAACGCGUAGAGAAAUUCCGAAAACCGUCGUCAUGGCUAUCCUCGUUCUGUCCCUCAUCAAAGUUCAACGCGUAACUCAAAGGAUCGUAUUGACACUUUGUCAUACGCUUCGAUCGAUGGUUGUUGAAUUUCCGAAUGAAAUUCUUCCAUCUUGGACCGGCAACGAUCUCUGACCAAUUGCGGAGUUUCUUUAAGGCUUUGAGGCCUCGAGACCACCAUCUAUCCGCGGUGGUUGGAGGAUGGGAUUGAGAAAAGGAGGCGGAGCGGACGCGUUCCCACCAAACGGAACGGCGGCGGGAGGCGAAGCAGGUGGGGAAACAUAAGGCGCUUGAUCUCUUUUGUUGGAGAUGAGCGGUGGGUGAUUCGAGCUCUAGCUCAACGGACAUGUCAGAAACUAAGAUUGAUGAUUUUGUUUGAAAAUGAUUAUGUGAUGAUGAAGUUUUAUAGUUUUGUAGUAUACAGAUGGAGAUGGAUGAAGAAGAGAGUGUGAGGAAGGUGUUUUUCCGUUAUAAAGAAAUAAAUAGGUAACACAUUCGGGUUCGGGUGGCCACACACGGAGUAUUUAAUAUCCUACUGUAAUUUAGUGUACACUAUACUGCAACCACUCACUCAAGUUUAUCAAUAUAUUUAUUAAAAAACAGUGUUAUUAUUUUUUAAAUAGAUAAAUCAAAAUAAACAAUUAAAAAUUCACGGUGCAUGAGUUGAG